AUGUUUUUUGAAAAUUGCGUUAUAAUGUUCGAUUUCCGAUAUUUCGUGUUGUAAUUGAUAUAUGAUACUCCUGUAUUGUGUUGGAAGUAGAUCGAGGCUUAAGUAUGAUUCUUCCAAAUGACCGACAUAAUCUUUCACAUGACGUAAUGCCGACCAAUAGGUACUCAUAUUGUAGUAAGCGAUUAGUUUCCAUUCAUCGCGUAUUAUGUGUACGUCAUACAUUUUAUCGAAAUAAAUGUUUUGAUUACUGUUCAGAGCUGUAACGUUGUAUGAACAUUCAGUUGGUUUAAAUAGAAAUAGAAUUAGCAUCAAUAUCAUAGUAAAGAAUGUUCCGAGAGGCCUUCUUAAUUGUCUACCCCUUCGUUGCCUCUGUUGCGAGUCGACGCCUGUGUCGUCGCCGCAUGUCGUUGUUGAAAUGUUAUCGAUACGGUUCUGUGCUUGAGUUCCGGUACCUUCUUCUCUUACGGGUAGAACUGACAGUUUUAAAACGGGUCUUUGUAUAACGCCAUUCUUAGUUUUGACGUUGAUGUAUAAUUGAUAGGACCGUCUUCAGAGGUCCAGGCCAGUCUCUCAGUGGAUAGUGCGACCUUGUUUGCGCCUUCUCAAUUUAACUGGUGGAACCCGCUUCUGGGAAGCCAGUCAACCGAUUCGCAGUCACACAAAUUCCACGUGAGCGUUGUGGCCACUGUAUGUGGAUUCUCCAAAUGUCGAUGGAAAUCCGUAGAGUUUAUAGUCUUGAUUGACCGUUUUCUUGAGUGAUUUCUCGAAGAAAUAUUUAUUUUUUCUCGAAGGAUCAACGACUGUAUGUAUCCUCGAAGUAAGACUGUUGUCUUCUAGCCUGCAGGUUCAGAAUGACUGCGCAGCUUGUCAAGCAGCAAGGCUGUAUUCUCGAAGGACCAAAAAACUGUAUGUAUCCUCGAAGUAAGACUGUUGUCUUAUAGCUUGCAGGUUCAGAAUGACUGCGCAGCUUGUCAGCAACAAGGCUGUAUUCUCGAAGGACCAAAAAACUGUAUGAUCCUCGAAGUAAGACUGUUGUCUUGUAGAAAGUAAUCUCGAAGGACCAAAAAACUGUAUGAUCCUGUCUGUGUGAGUGAGAGACGACAUGUGAGGGAAGGUUACGAGGGAAACCAAACCCAAUGAAAGUCGAUCUAACACU
rnacentral:misc_RNA from 1 species